AAUCAACGCUGGCGGCGUGCCUAACACAUGCAAGUCGAACGCGAAAGCCCCGCAAGGGGUAAGUAGAGUGGCAAACGGGUGAGUAACACGUGGGUGACCUGCCUUCGAGUGGGGGAUAACGUCCCGAAAGGGACGCUAAUACCGCAUGACAUCCUGCUUUUGAAAAAGCGGAGAUCAAAGCUGGGGAUCGCAAGACCUAGCGCUUGAAGAGGGGCCCGCGCCUGAUUAGCUAGUUGGUGAGGUAACGGCUCACCAAGGCGACGAUCAGUAUCCGGCCUGAGAGGGCGGACGGACACACUGGGACUGAGACACGGCCCAGACUCCUACGGGAGGCAGCAGUGGGGAAUUGUUCGCAAUGGGCGCAAGCCUGACGACGCAACGCCGCGUGGAGGACGAAGAUCUUCGGGUCGUAAACUCCUGUCGAGCGGGACGAACGCUUCGCGGAUGAAUAAUCCGCGGAAUUGACGGUACCGCUAAAGGAAGCCCCGGCUUACUCCGUG
rnacentral:rRNA from 1 species